rnacentral:rRNA from 1 species
ACGGGUGAGUAAUGUAUAGGAAUCUACCCUAUAGUGAGGAAUAAGUAUUGGAAACGGUGCCUAAUACCACAUAUUACCGAUUUAUCGGGAAAGGGCAAUUCUUCGGGAUUGUCUGCUAAAGGAUGAGCUUAUAUCGGAUUAGCUAGUUGGUAGGGUAAAGGCCUACCAAGGCGAAGAUCCGUAGCUGGUCUGAGAGGGUGAUCAGCCACACUGGGACUGCGACACGGCCCAGACUCC